UUUGCAGCACAAAUUCUGGAGCGGUACUUUAGGAUAUUAAAGUCUUGAUACCUGACUGAAACGUUUUCUUUAAAGAAACAAACCCUCAGCAGUCCCUGUAUGGGAAAGAUAAACAGAAGCUGCAGAAAUAACCUUUUGCGGGAUAAAUGGUCAGUGGCCACAUGAAUGCCAAUGUACAGCCUGUGCAAAGUGCUCUUUUUUAUCGGGUUCCCUCUGCCAACAAAUGGUGAAGAUGCAGGAGCUUACCCAGAGACAUGCGCCUGGAACUGACCUCUCUGCAGCUAGAGGGUGAUUUACCAUUGGAACAAACCAGAAAGGGAAGUAAUGGAUUCUCCAUCUUGUGUGGUCUUGAAUUGAAGACUGGAUGUCAUUCUGAAAGUUACAGCUCCUCUAGAUUUACCAUGUCUAUAGAUGAUGGUGUCAACUGCGCAGAGAUAAAACUGAGCCUCUGAGAAAGUAAAAUCAUUUGAUAUAUGAUAUCCUAAUAAAUAUAGAAGAGAACAUAAAUAUAAAAUGGAUUAAAUUUACUAGCAAAAUCAGUUGUGGAUUGCGAAACAUGGGUAAGAUUAACAGCAACAAGAGUGCUGCACAUCUGA